rnacentral:tRNA from 1 species
GCGCCUGUAGCUCAAUCGGAUAGAGCGUCGGGCUUCGAACCCGAAGGCUGGGGGUUCGAGCCCCUCCAGGCGCG